rnacentral:tRNA from 1 species
GGGUCGUUAGCUCAGCUGGUAGAGCGCUUCGUUUACACCGAAGAUGUCGGCGGUUCGAGCCCGUCACGACCCACCA